rnacentral:rRNA from 1 species
GCAUAUCAAUAAGCGGAGGAAAAGAAACCAACAGGGAUUGCCUCAGUAACGGCGAGUGAAGCGGCAAAAGCUCAAAUUUGAAAUCCUUCGGGAAUUGUAUUUUGAAGGUGGGUUUGGUUAGGAAAAGUUACUUUAAGUCCAUUGGAAAAUGGCGCCAUGGAGGGUGAUAGCCCCGUAAAAGUAUCCCUUUUCCUUUUAUCCAUUCCCUCCAAAGAGUCGAGUUGUUUGGGAAUGCAGCUCUAAGUGGGUGGUAAAUUCCAUCUAAAGCUAAAUAUUGGCGAGAGACCGAUAGCGAACAAGUACAGUGAUGGAAAGAUGAAAAGCACUUUGAAAAGAGAGUGAAAAAGUACGUGAAAUUGUUGAAAGGGAAGGGCUUGCAAGCAGACACAACCUCGGUUGGGCCAGCAUCGGAGUGGGGGGAGACAAAAAAGAAAAGGAAUGUAACUCUUUCGAGUAUUAUAGCCUUUUCUCAUAUCUCCACCCCCUUCCGAGGCCUGCGAUUCUUCAAGGAUGCUGG